GUGCUUGCUUUGGCAGCACAUGUACUAAAAUUGGAGUGAUACAGAGAAGAUUGGCAUGGUCCCUGUGCAAGGAUGACACACAAGUUUGUGAAUUGUUCCACAUUUAA
ensembl:snRNA U6 U6 spliceosomal RNA